CUGUUAGUUGAGAGUUUAUUAAAAAGCAAAUAAUAAGACACACAAGUUUGAAUACUCUGGAAAUGUUUGUUUCAAAUAGAGACGUAGAUACAAAAUGUCUGUGUAUUUAGCAGGAAGCAAAAAAAAAAGGCAAAAUAAAGAAUAAAACAAUGUUUAAAUAAAGGCAAACAGAACUGGUCACAUAACUCCCUGUUGACUGUUGUGAGUAGCUGACUCAUACAUUUAUCAAUAUGAGCUUUGUUUUAUGUCUGUCUUUCCUAUAUACAAUUAUUCAUUAAGCAACAAAGCCAAAAUUGACUAUUAACUAAUUCAUUCCUAGAACCAAAAUACACGAAUUGGAAAGGUUUUAACACUUGUAAGUUUGGCUUGUUACGUUACAUCAAAUAAGCAAAGUAUUUAUGUAUCUAUUAUUGCAUACUAUUUUUAUUUUUCAAACUAGCUAGUUUAACUAGUUUCCCACAACUAUUUUUACAAUCUGUGCUUCUUCCAUAUUUCAAUACCAAUGGAAAAUAAUUAUGAUAAAUGCAUUCUUAUUGCGUUGUUAACAAACAUAACGUAGGCUCAAAGUACUUUAAGUACAUAACAAACAUAACGCAAUCUCAAUACACUUUGAGAAUAAAAAAAAAUAAAAACCGUUGGCUCAAUGUACUUUAAGUACAUAGCUAACAUAUCGUAGUCUCUAUGUGCUUUGAGAACAUGACAAACAUAACGUAGGCUCGUGUGUACAUUAAGUACAUAACAAACAUAACGUAGCUCAAUGUACUUUAAGAAUAAAACAAAAACAAAUAACAUAGGCUCAAUGUACUUUGAGAACGUAACCAGCAUAACGUAGGCUCACUGAGAAACUAGCAAAUAAAGUAGAGAUACAAAUGAAGACAAUGUCAGUGCUGUAUGAGCUGAGAGUUUUAAUGUUCUUUUUGCACGUGGUCAAGCACAUCGUUUGAGGUCAAUAGGCUUCGGGUUACAUGUAUUGUAAAGACACACUGGCUUCAUUUUUUUUUUUCGGGGAGGGGGGGAAGCAUAACUAGAAAACAUGUCCAUGGUGCUCAGGGAUCUCUGAGGGACUGAUCGGCGCAAUAAGGGUACACUAGUGACCAAAUGUUGCUAACUUUUAAUCGAUGUUCACAAUCAUAAUGUAGUUAUAGUCUGACCUUUUUUUACGCUCUACUUUAAUCUGACAAAUUAUUGAAAUAAUCUAAUAGUCUUGGCUGCUACUUGAGAAAAUGUCAGUAUUUGAGUUGAUGUAGGCGCGGUGGCUGAGUGGUCAAGUGUCAGCCAAGCCAGUUACUUACACGGUUAUCGCCAUCAAUAUAUGAACGCUUUUCAUGCAAUGCAUUAAUACAAAUUCAUAGCGAAGAAAAGUACUAAAUGGUAGAAGCAGGAUGAGUCUUACAACUUUAAUAAAGCCUGCUAAAUAUUUGUAAUCUGCUAUUAAUGGUAAGGACAAGCUGUUUUUUUUAAAUGACUUUUGGAGGGUUUGGGCAAGACAAUAGUUCACGAGAAAUCAAUAAUUGACAAUGAUGGGAUACCUAGAAAAUAUUUUCUAUUUUUGAUGUCAUGUGUUCAUUGAUAAGACGCAAAGAGUUGUUCUAGAUUCAACUUUAUAGCUAGGACGAGAAAUACAUGGAGUGCUCAGCGGCUUUUUACUUUAAUCUCGACCUUUACAUGUGACCAGUAAUAAGCUUUACACUUCAGUGACAACACGUGACCAGUAAUAAGCUUUACACUUCAGUGAAAA